AGAAUCAACGCUGGCGGCGUGCCUAACACAUGCAAGUCGAACGAGAAAGUGGAGCAAUCCAUGAGUAAAGUGGCGCACGGGUGAGUAACACGUGACUAACCUACCCUUGAGUGGGGGAUAACCUAGAGAAAUCUGGGCUAAUACCGCAUAAUACCUACGGGUCAAAGGAGCAAUUCGCUUUAGGAGGGGGUCGCGGCCGAUUAGUUAGUUGGCGGGGUAAUGGCCCACCAAGACAGUGAUCGGUAUCCGGCCUGAGAGGGCGCACGGACACACUGGAACUGAAACACGGUCCAGACUCCUACGGGAGGCAGCAGUGGGAAUUUGCGCAAUGGGGGAAACCCUGACGCAGCAACGCCGCGUGGAGGAUGAAGCCCUUGGGGCGUAAACUCCUUUCGAUCGGGACGAUAAUGACGGUACCGAGAGAAGAAGCCCCGGCUAACUUCGCGCCAGCAGCCGC
rnacentral:rRNA from 1 species